UGGCCUAACACAUGACAAGUCGAACGAAGCGAUUUAACGGAAGUUUUCGGAUGGAAGUUGAAUUGACUGAGUGGCGGACGGGUGAGUAACGCGUGGGUAACCUGCCUUGUACUGGGGGACAACAGUUAGAAAUGACUGCUAAUACCGCAUAAGCGCACAGUAUCGCAUGAUACAGUGUGAAAAACUCCGGUGGUACAAGAUGGACCCGCGUCUGAUUAGCUAGUUGGUAAGGUAACGGCUUACCAAGGCGACGAUCAGUAGCCGACCUGAGAGGGUGACCGGCCACAUUGGUGACUGAGACACGGCCCAAACUCCUACGGGAGGCAGCAGUGGGGAAUAUUGCACAAUGGGCGAAAGCCUGAUGCAGCGACGCCGCGUGAGUGAAGAAGUAUUUCGGUAUGUAAAGCUCUAUCAGCAGGGAAGAAAAUGACGGUACCUGACUAAGAAGCCCCGGCUAACUACGUGCCAGCAGCCGCGG
rnacentral:rRNA from 1 species